CCCUGUUAUUCUAUAAAAAAAUAUAAUACUUCAAAAAAAAACAAUAUAAUAAAUUUGACGGUAUUAACUUUUACAAAGGAAUUUGUUUCUUAAUCGAAAAUACACGAUAAACCUCACUUAAUUCAUAUUUGUAUACCACCGUACACAGUAAUUAUCAUAAAUUAUUACAAAAAAAAUUAUUUUAAAACAUCAGGUCAAGGUGCAAUUUAACUAAGAUGAAAUGAAUUACAUUAACAUUAAUAUACAUAAAAAUUGAAACAAUUUUUAAAAAUUGAAUUUGUUAGUAAAAUUAAAUCAUAAUGUUUUUUUGAAAACUAAUAUUAAUAUGUACAUAUCGCCCG
rnacentral:rRNA from 1 species